CCUACGGGGCGCAGCAGUGGGGAAUAUUGGACAAUGGGCGAAAGCCUGAUCCAGCCAUGCCGCGUGUGUGAAGAAGGCCUUCGGGUUGUAAAGCACUUUCAGUGGGGAAGAAAGCCUUGGGGCUAAUACCCUCGAGGAAGGACAUCACCCACAGAAGAAGCACCGGCUAACUCCGUGCCAGCAGCCGCGGUAAUACGGAGGGUGCGAGCGUUAAUCGGAAUUACUGGGCGUAAAGCGCGCGUAGGCGGUCUGAUAAGCCGGUUGUGAAAGCCCCGGGCUCAACCUGGGAACGGCAUCCGGAACUGUCAGGCUAGAGGGCAGGAGAGGAAGGUAGAAUCCCCGGUGUAGCGGUGAAAUGCGUAGAGAUCGGGAGGAAUACCAGUGGCGAAGGCGGCCUUCUGGACUGACACUGACGCUGAGGUGCGAAAGCGUGGGUAGCAAACAGGAUUAGAUACCCUAGUAGUC
rnacentral:rRNA from 1 species